rnacentral:rRNA from 1 species
AUUGAACGCUGGCGGCAUGCCUUACACAUGCAAGUCGAACGGCAGCACGGGUGCUUGCACCUGGUGGCGAGUGGCGAACGGGUGAGUAAUACAUCGGAACAUGUCCUGUAGUGGGGGAUAGCCCGGCGAAAGCCGGAUUAAUACCGCAUACGAUCUACGGAUGAAAGCGGGGGACCUGCGGGCCUCGCGCUAUAGGGUUGGCCGAUGGCUGAUUAGCUAGUUGGUGGGGUAAAGGCCUACCAAGGCGACGAUCAGUAGCUGGUCUGAGAGGACGACCAGCCACACUGGGACUGAGACACGGCCCAGACUCCUACGGGAGGCAACAGUGGGGAAUUUUGGACAAUGGGCGAAAGCCUGAUCCAGCAAUGCCGCGUGUGUGAAGAAGGCCUUCGGGUUGUAAAGCACUUUUGUCCGGAAAGAAAUCCUUGGCCCUAAUACGGUCGGGGGAUGACGGUACCGGAAGAAUAAGCACCGGCUAACUACGUG